UACGUAGGGUGCAAGCGUUAAUCGGAAUUACUGGGCGUAAAGCGUGCGCAGGCGGUUUUGUAAGUCUGUCGUGAAAUCCCCCGGGCUCAACCUGGGAAUUGCGAUGGAGACUGCAAGGCUAGAAUCUGGCAGAGGGGGGUAGAAUUCCACGUGUAGCAGUGAAAUGCGUAGAGAUGUGGAGGAACACCGAUGGCGAAGGCAGCCCCCCUGGGUCAAGAUUGACGCUCAUGCACGAA
rnacentral:rRNA from 1 species